UUUUUUUUUUUUUGUUUGUUUUUGUUUUUUAUACAGUAGCCAUCCUAGUGGAUGUGAGGUUUAUCUCACUGUAGUUUUGUUUUGCACCCCUCUAAUGGUUAGUGAUGUUGAGCAUCUUUUCAUGUGCUUAUUGGCCAUUUGUAUCUUCUCUAGAGAAAUGUGUAUGCAAGUUCUUUGCACAUUUUUGAGUUUUCUUGGUUUGUUUUGUUUAUUUUGUUACUGAGUUUUCAGAGUUCUCUACAUAUACCUUAUCAGAUAUAUGGUUUGCAAAUAUUUUCUCCCAUUCUCUGGGUUCUCCUUUUACUCUCCUGACAGUAUCCUUUGAUUAACAAGUUUUAAAAAAUUUCAUGAAGUCCAGUGUAUUUAUUUUUUUCUCAUUAUCUGUGACUUUGAUAUCAUAUCCAAGAAAUCUUCAAAAAAAAAUAACUGAAUCACUUUAUUGUACACCUGAACCUAAAACAAUAUUGUACAUCAACUAUAUUUAAAAAAAACGAAAACAAAAAACAAAAAAACUCCCAACAAAGAAAAGCCCUGGACUUGAUGACUUCACUGGUGAAUUCUAUUAAACCUGUAAAGAACAAAUACCAUCUCAAAUUUUUCCAAAAAAAUACAGAGGGAAAAAGAAAAAGGAAUUCCCAUCAUGGCUCAGCAGAAACGAAGCUGACUGGCAUCCAUGAGGAUGCAGGUUCGAUCCCUGGCCUCGCCUGGUGGCUUAAGGAUCUGGUGUUGCCAUGAACUGUGGUGUAGGUUACAGACUUGGCUUGGAUCUGGUGCUGCUGUGGCUGUGGCUGUGGCACAGGCCAGCGGCUACAGCUCCGAGUGGACCCCUAGCCUGGGAACCUCCAUAUGCCACGGGUACAGGCCUAGAAAAAGACAAAACACACACACACACAAAGAAAGGAAAAGUAACUUACUCUGACACCAAAAUCAAAGACAUUACAAGACAAGAAAACCAUAGACCAAAAGCCCUUAAGAACAAUGAUGCAAAAAUCCUCAACAAAAUACCAGCAAACCGAAUUCAGCUGCAUAUUAAAUGGAAUACACACACACAUACAUAUAUAUACAUACAUACCACAUCUUCUUAAACCAAUUGUCUGUUGAUGGGUACUUGGGUUGUUUCCAUGUCUUGGUUAAAGUACAUAGUGCUGUUUGCUGAGAGAUUUUUGGCUAUUGAUUUAAUCUCCUAACUAGCUAUAGGUCUAUUCAAAUUUUCUAUUUCUUUGUGAUUUAGUUUUGGUAGUUUUUGUGUUUCUAGGAAUUUAUUCAUUUCAUCUAGGUUACAAUGUUCAUAUACUCUUAUAAUCCUUUUCAUUUCUGUAGAAUAGGUGGUAAUGUUCCCACUUUCCUUUCUUUGUGUGUGUGUGUGUUUUGUCUUUUUCUAGGCCUGUACCCGUGGCAUAUGGAGGUUCCCAGGCUAGGGGUCUAAUUGGAGCUGUAGCUGCCAGCCUACGAGACAGUCACAGCAGCACGUGAUCCAAACCACGUCUGUGACCUACACC
rnacentral:lncRNA from 1 species